rnacentral:rRNA from 1 species
CGGUAAUACGGAGGGUGCAAGCGUUACUCGGAAUCACUGGGCGUAAAGGACGCGUAGGCGGGAUGGUAAGUCAGAUGUGAAAUCCCACAGCUUAACUGUGGAACUGCAUUUGAAACUGCCAACCUAGAGUUUGGGAGAGGCAGAUGGAAUUGGUGGUGUAGGGGUAAAAUCCGUAGAGAUCACCAGGAAUACCGAUGGCGAAGGCGAUCUGCUGGAACAAUACUGACGCUGAGGCGUGAAAGCGUGGGGAGCAAACAGGAUUAGAUACCCUGGUAGUCCACGCCCUAAACGAUGAAUGCUAGUUGUUGGGGUGCUCGUCAUCCCAGUAAUGCAGCUAACGCAAUAAGCAUUCCGCCUGGGGAGUACGGUCGCAAGAUUAAAACUCAAAGGAAUAGACGGGGACCCGCACAAGCGGUGGAGCAUGUGGUUUAAUUCGAAGAUACGCGAAGAACCUUACCUGGACUUGACAUCCCGAGAACCCUCCAGAGAUGGAGGGGUGCUACUUUGUAGAGCUCGGUGACAGGUGCUGCACGGCUGUCGUCAGCUCGUGUCGUGAGAUGUUGGGUUAAGUCCCGCAACGAGCGCAACCCUCGUCCUUAGUUGCCAGCAGUUCGGCUGGGCACUCUAAGGAGACUGCCUGGGUAACCAGGAGGAAGGUGAGGACGACGUCAAGUCAUCAUGGCCCUUAUGUCCAAGGCGACACACGUGCUACAAUGGCGUGUACAAUGAGAGGCAAUACCGCGAGGUGGAGCAAAUCUAUAAAACACGUCCCAGUUCGGAUUGCACUCUGCAACUCGAGUGCAUGAAGUUGGAAUCGCUAGUAAUCGUGAAUCAGCCAUGUCACGGUGAAUACGUUCCCGGG